AUACGAAGGGGGCUAGCGUUGCUCGGAAUUACUGGGCGUAAAGGGAGCGUAGGCGGACUGUUUAGUCAGAGGUGAAAGCCCAGGGCUCAACCUUGGAAUUGCCUUUGAUACUGGCAGUCUUGAGUACGGAAGAGGUAUGUGGAACUCCGAGUGUAGAGGUGAAAUUCGUAGAUAUUCGGAAGAACACCAGUGGCGAAGGCGACAUACUGGUCCGUUACUGACGCUGAGGCUCGAAAGCGUGGGGAGCAAACAGGAUUAGAUACCCUGGUAGUCCACGCCGUAAACGAUGAGUGCUAGUUGUCGGCAUGCAUGCAUGUCGGUGACGCAGCUAACGCAUUAAGCACUCCGCCUGGGGAGUACGGUCGCAAGAUUAA
rnacentral:rRNA from 1 species